UGGGUAACCUGCCUCAAAGAGGGGAAUAGCCUCCCGAAAGGGAGAUUAAUACCGCAUAAUAUGUUUAAGUCGCAUGACUUUAACAUCAAAGGAUUUUCUUUUAGAAAUUCCACUUUGAGAUGGACCCGCGGCGCAUUAGCUAGUUGGUGGGGUAACGGCUCACCAAGGCAACGAUGCGUAGCCGACCUGAGAGGGUGAUCAGCCACAUUGGAACUGAGACACGGUCCAGGCCUNUACGGGAG
rnacentral:rRNA from 1 species